GAUGAACGCUGGCGGCGUGCCUAAUACAUGCAAGUCGAGCGAACAGACGAGGAGCUUGCUCCUCUGACGUUAGCGGCGGACGGGUGAGUAACACGUGGAUAACCUACCUAUAAGACUGGGAUAACUUCGGGAAACCGGAGCUAAUACCGGAUAAUAUAUUGAACCGCAUGGUUCAAUAGUGAAAGACGGUUUUGCUGUCACUUAUAGAUGGAUCCGCGCCGCAUUAGCUAGUUGGUAAGGUAACGGCUUACCAAGGCAACGAUGCGUAGCCGACCUGAGAGAGUGAUCAGCCACACUGGAACUGAGACACGGUCCAGACUCCUACGGGGGGCAGCAGUAGGGAAUCUUCCGCAAUGCGCGAAAGCCUGACGGAGCAACGCCGCGUGAGUGAUGAAGGUCUUCGGAUCGUAAAACUCUGUUAUUAGGGAAGAACAAAUGUGUAAGUAACUAUGCACGUCUUGACGGUACCUAAUCAGAAAGCCACGGCUAACUACGUG
rnacentral:rRNA from 1 species